rnacentral:rRNA from 1 species
ACGGUCCUAAGGUAGCGAAAUUCCUUGUCAGGUAAGUUCUGACCCGCACGAAAGGCGUAAUGAUUUGGGCACUGUCUCGACAAUGUACCCGGCGAAAUUGUAGUACUAGUGAAGAUGCUAGUUACCUGCGACAAGACAGAAAGACCCCAUGGAGCUUUACUGUAGUUUGAUAUUGGGUUUCGGUAAUUUAUGUACAGGAUAGGUGGGAGACAAAGAAGGAUAGGCGUCAGCUUAUCUGGAGUCAACGUUGGGAUACCACUCUUAAGUUAUUGAAAUUCUAACUUGUGAUCAUAAACUGGUCAGAGGACAAUGUCAGACGGGCAGUUUGACUGGGGCGGUCGCCUCCAAAAGAGUAACGGAGGCGUCCAAAGGUUUCCUCAGCGCGGACAGAAAUCGCGCGAAAGAGUGUAAAGGCAGAAGGAAGCUUAACUGAGAGACAGACAUGUCGACCAGAUACGAAAGUAGGGCUUAGUGAUCCGGUGGAAUUGAAUGGAAAAGCCAUCGCUCAACGGACAAAAGUUACCCUGGGGAUAACAGGCUUAUCUCCCCCAAGAGUUCACAUCGACGGGGAGGUUUGGCACCUCGAUGUCGGCUCAUCGCAUCCUGGAGCUGAAGUCGGUUCCAAGGGUUGGGCUGUUCGCCCAUUAAAGCGGUACGCGAGCUGGGUUCAGAACGUCGUGAGACAGUUCGGUCCCUAUCUGUCGUGGGCGCAGGAGGUUUGAGGAGAGCUGCCCCUAGUACGAGAGGACCGGGGUGGACGGACCGAUGGUGCACCAGUUGUCACGCCAGUGGCACAGCUGGGCAGCCAAGUCCGGACGGGAUAAGCGCUGAAGGCAUCUAAGCGUGAAGCCCCCUCCAAGAUGAGACCUCCCAUUGGCGACAAGUAAGGCCCCUCGAAGACGACGAGGUUGAUAGGCCGCGAGUGCAAGCGCAGCGAUGUGCUUAGCGGGGCGGUACUAAUAGGCCGAGGACUUGGCCAA